rnacentral:tRNA from 1 species
GAGGACGUAGCUCAGCUGGGAGAGCGCUACCCUGACACGGUAGAGGUCACGUGUUCAAGUCACGUCGUUCUCACCA